CAGGUGCUGCUGGGGUGAUGGAUGGUCUGAUGUGGCUAGGUAACUGCUGAUGUCCGGUGGACUACAGACUACUGAAUCUGAAAGCAUGACAGCUCUCACUUCUGACUCCAGUAUCUUCAGACUUUUGUGUCUACGUGUUCUGUCCGGGGUGCACAAAGUGGCUGUACUGAGGAGUUGCUGAGGAUCCUCCAAUGCCAGUAUCAAUUAGAAGAUCUCAAAGAAUAAGAAAACCUGUUGAAAGACCGAACUUUAAGAGCCAGAAAGUAAUUCUAAAUACACAAUUCUACCACUCACAGCAGCCAAUUAACCUACCAAGACACAUAUCUUUGGGAUGUGGGAGGAAUCUGGAGCACCUGGAAGAAACCUACACAGUCACAGGGAGAACGUGCAAACUCCACACAGACUGCAUCGGAGGUCGGGAUUGAACCUGGGUCUCUGGAGCUGUGGAGCAGCAGCCCUAUUAUUUAUGUCAUUGUGCUGCCCAGGUACCGGCAUGGAUGAUAAUGUCAUAGCAGUUAAAACUCAGGUGACUGACACAUGGGCAAAUUUUUUGAAUUUUUAAGGUGCUGACCCAUUCGUGGAGCAAAUGUGACGGAGGUUGAGGACGUAAAAUUAUGAUGUAAAAUUAGAGCAAGAGCAAGAAGUACAGCAGGAAGAUCAAUGGACCUUGAAGCAGAUUGCUAGUUUUUAUCCAUUUCUAACAUACUUAGCAAGUAAGAACUUGCAUUUUAUUAGUUUAUCUCAUGACUCCAGGAUAUCCUAAAGUGCUUGACACUCAAUUAAAUAAACCUGAAGAGUAUAACACAUAGUAACAAACACUCCACAAUCAGCAGGGGUAUAACAGGCAGCCUGCUGUUAGUGACAAAGAUUGAAGGAAUGGCCCAGGCACUGCAAGAUCUUUUUUUAUAUAUAUUCAUUCAAGGGAUGUGGGCUUCACAGGCUGAGCCAGCAUUUAAUCCCCUGUCCCUAGUUGCUCUUGAAGAGGUGGCGGUGAGCUGCCUUCUUGAUCCACCCUUGAGGUGUGGGUGUACCCACACUGUUGUUAGGGAGGGGGUUCCAGGAUUUUGACCCAGCGACCGUGAAGGAAUGGCCACAAAUUUCCAAGUCAGGAUGGCGUGUGGCUUGGAGGGCAACUUCCAGGGGGUGAUGUUCCCCGUGCUUUUACUGCCCUUGUCCUUCUAGCUGGUAGAGGUGGUGGGUUUGGAAGGUGCCGUCUCAGAAGUCUUGGUGAGUUGCUGCAGUGCAUCCUGUAGGUGGUACAAACCAUGCUCUGGGGGUGGAGUGAGUGAAUGGUGGUGGAUGGGGUGCCUAUCAAACAGGCUGCUGUGUCCUGCAUGGUGUCAAGCUCCCUGAGUGUUGUUGAAGCUGACCUCACCCAGGCAAGUGGGGAGUGUUCCAUCACACAUCUGACUUUAGUUUUGUAGAUGGUGGACAGGCUUUGGGGUGUGAGGAGAGUUACUUGCUGCAAGGUUCCUAGCCUCUGACCUGCUCUUCUCUGGAACAAUCUCAUGCAGUCUUCCUGAGGGAACAGGAGACAAAAAUCAAGGGACAGGAGAAGAGCUGCUGGUGCAUUAGGGCAUCAUAUGUUGGUGUACGUUAUUCACUAUGUGACAACUCCCAUGUACACAACACAUGUUCCCAUCUCCACCCACCCAAAGCCAAGCAGUCUCCUGGAACAGGUUACA